AUUGAACGCUGGCGGCAGGCCUAACACAUGCAAGUCGAGCGAGCGGCGGCCGGGUGAGUAAUGUAUGGGGAUUGCCCGAUAGAGGGGGAUAACUACUGGAAACGGUAGCUAAUACCGCAUACUAUCGGAUAACCCAUAUGGGAUUAGCUAGUAGGUGAGGUAAUGGAUCACCUAGGCGACGAUCCCUAGCUGGGCCGAGAGGUUAAUCAGGCACACUGGGACGAAAGCACGGCCCAGACUCCUGCGGAGUCAUCGGUGGUGUAUAGUGCACGCAUGGCGCGAGCCUGAUGCUGCCGAGCCGGGUGUAUGAAAGGGGCCCUAGGGUUGUAAAGUGCGAUCAGGCUGGAAGCAUUACCGACAGGAGAGGCACGAGCUAACUCCGUGCCAGCAGCCGCGGUAAUUC
rnacentral:rRNA from 1 species